rnacentral:rRNA from 1 species
UGGGGAAUAUUGGACAAUGGGCGAAAGCCUGAUCCAGCCAUGCCGCGUGUGUGAAGAAGGUCUUCGGAUUGUAAAGCACUUUAAGUUGGGAGGAAGGGCAGUAAGCGAAUACCUUGCUGUUUUGACGUUACCGACAGAAUAAGCACCGGCUAACUCUGUGCCAGCAGCCGCGGUAAUACAGAGGGUGCAAGCGUUAAUCGGAAUUACUGGGCGUAAAGCGCGCGUAGGUGGUUCGUUAAGUUGAAUGUGAAAGCUCCGGGCUCAACCUGGGAACUGCAUCCAAAACUGGCGAGCUAGAGUAGGGCAGAGGGUGGUGGAAUUUCCUGUGUAGCGGUGAAAUGCGUAGAUAUAGGAAGGAACACCAGUGGCGAAGGCGACCACCUGGGCUCAUACUGACACUGAGGUGCGAAAGCGUGGGGAGCAAACAGG